GAUCCUGGCUCAGGAUGAACGCUGGCGGCGUGCCUAAUACAUGCAAGUCGAACGCUUUGUGGUUCAACUGGUUUGAAGAGCUUGCUCAGAUAUGACGAUGGACAUUGCAAAGAGUGGCGAACGGGUGAGUAACACGUGGGAAACAUACCUCUUAGCAGGGGAUAACAUUUGGAAACAGAUGCUAAUACCGUAUAAUAAUGACAACCGCAUGGUUGUUAUUUAAAAGAUGGUUCUG
rnacentral:rRNA from 1 species